rnacentral:SRP_RNA from 1 species
GCCGGGCAUGGUGGUGCGUGCCUGUAAUCCCAGCUACUUAGGAGGCUGAGGCAGGAGAAUCGCUUGAACCCGGGAGGUGGAGGCUGUAGUGAGCCAAGAUUGCACCAUUGCACUCCAGCCUGGGUGACAGAGCGAGACUCAGUCUCGA